UCUUCACAGUAUAAAACUCUUAAUGAGGCUAAUCAUAGGCAUUCCAUUUAGUGGGACGAUUAGGGAUAACAUAAAAGUAUUUCUUUUCAUAGAUUUUCUAAGAUUUAUCCUUUUUGCUUAUUAAAAAAUAAAAAUGGGACUAGCAUGUCAGUUCUUCAUACGAAAGUGUUGAAAAUGCAAAUAGGCUUUCUCAUGCUAUCAUGUAGGUAUAAAUUAUUGAGGAGGUACUGCCCAUGGUGGAGAACUGAAG